rnacentral:rRNA from 1 species
GACAGAGGGUGCAACCGUUGUUCGGAAUUACUGGGCGUAAAGCGUGCGCAGGCGGCCAUCCAAGUCAGUGGUGAAAGCCCGGAGCUCAACUCCGGAAUUGCCAUUGAAACUGUUUGGCUCGAGUACGAGAGAGGUGAGUGGAAUUCCCAGUGUAGAGGUGAAAUUCGUAGAUACUGGGAAGAACACCGGUGGCGAAGGCGGCUCACUGGCUCGUAACUGACGCUCAUGCACGACAGCGUGGGGAUCAAACAGG